GUCUUUGUGGUGUAGCGGUCAGCACGCUCGGCCUGUAUUCGAGAGGCCCGUGGUUCGAAUUCCAGUGAGGGCA
rnacentral:tRNA from 1 species